rnacentral:rRNA from 1 species
CCUACGGGGGACAGCAGUGAGGAAUAUUGGUCAAUGGACGGAAGUCUGAACCAGCCAUGCCGCGUGCAGGAAGACGGCUCUAUGAGUUGUAAACUGCUUUUGUACAAGGGUAAACCUGAAUACGUGUAUUCAGCUGAAAGUACUGUACGAAUAAGGAUCGGCUAACUCCGUGCCAGCAGCCGCGGUAAUACGGAGGAUCCAAGCGUUCUCCGGAUUUAUUGGGUUUAAAGGGUGCGUAGGCGGAUUGAUAAGUUAGAGGUGAAAUGUCCGAGCUCAACUCGGGAACUGCCUCUAAUACUGUUGGUCUAGAGAGUAGAUGCGGUAGGCGGAAUGUAUGGUGUAGCGGUGAAAUGCUUAGAGAUCAUACAGAACACCGAUUGCGAAGGCAGCUUACCAAUCUAUAUCUGACGUUGAGGCACGAAAGCGUGGGGAGCAAACAGGAUUAGAUACCCUGGUAGUC